CCUUUGCCGGCGACCGGCGCACGGGUGAGUAACACGUAUGCAACCUGCCCUCUUCAGGGGGACAACCUUCCGAAAGGGAGGCUAAUCCCGCGUAUAUCGGUUUCGGGCAUCCGAGAUCGAGGAAAGAUUCAUCGGAAGAGGAUGGGCAUGCGGCGCAUUAGCUAGACGGCGGGGUAACGGCCCACCGUGGCGACGAUGCGUAGGGGUUCUGAGAGGAAGGUCCCCCACACUGGUACUGAGUCACGGACCAGACUCCUACGGGAGGCAGCAG
rnacentral:rRNA from 1 species